AUCCAGCUGACGAGUCGCAAAUAGGAUGAAACACGCGUCAUAGAU
rfam:Schistosoma rodhaini strain Burundi genome assembly, scaffold: SROB_scaffold0001763